rnacentral:rRNA from 1 species
GACGAACGCUGGCGGCGUGCUUAACACAUGCAAGUCGAACGGAAAGGCCCUGCUUUUGUGGGGUGCUCGAGUGGCGAACGGGUGAGUAACACGUGAGUAACCUGCCCUUGACUUUGGGAUAACUUCAGGAAACUGGGGCUAAUACCGGAUAGGAGCUCCUGCUGCAUGGUGGGGGUUGGAAAGUUUCGGCGGUUGGGGAUGGACUCGCGGCUUAUCAGCUUGUUGGUGGGGUAGUGGCUUACCAAGGCUUUGACGGGUAGCCGGCCUGAGAGGGUGACCGGCCACAUUGGGACUGAGAUACGGACCAGACUCCUACGGGAGGCAGCAGUGGGGAAUAUUGCACAAUGGGCGGAAGCAUGAUGCAGCAACGCCGCGUGCGGGAUGACGGCCUUCGGGUUGUAAACCGCUUUCGACUGUGACGAAGCGUGAGUGACGGUAAUGGGUAAAGAAGCACCGGCUAACUACGUG